CACGUAGGCGGCAAGGUAAGUCAAAGGUGAAAGCCCUCGGCUCAACCGAGGAAUUGCCUUUGAAACUGCUUUGCUUGAGUCCGGGAGGGGGGAGCGGAAUACCCAAUGGAGCGGUGAAAUGCGUAGAUAUUGGGUAGAACACCGGUGGCGAAGGCGGCUCCCUGGACCGGUACUGACGCUGAGGUGCGAAAGCGUGGGUAGCAAACA
rnacentral:rRNA from 1 species